GACGAACGCUGGCGGCGUGCUUAACACAUGCAAGUCGAGCGGUAAGGCCCUUUCGGGGGUACACGAGCGGCGAACGGGUGAGUAACACGUGGGUGACCUGCCCUCAGCUCUGGGAUAAGCCUGGGAAACUGGGUCUAAUACUGGAUAUGACUCCACGGUGCAUGUCGUGGGGUGGAAAGCCUUGUGCGGCUGAGGAUGGGCCCGCGGCCUAUCAGCUUGUUGGUGGGGUGAGGCCUACCAAGGCGACGACGGGUAGCCGGCCUGAGAGGGCGACCGGCCACACUGGGACUGAGACACGGCCCAGACUCCUACGGGAGGCAGCAGUGGGGAAUCUUGCGCAAUGGGCGAAAAGCCUGACGCAGCGACGCCGCGUGAGGGAUGACGGCCUGU
rnacentral:rRNA from 1 species